rnacentral:rRNA from 1 species
GACGUAGGGCGGCGAGCGUUGUCCGGAUUUAUUGGGCGUAAAGAGCUCGUAGGCGGCUUGUCGCGUCGUCCGUGAAAACCCGGGGCUCAACCCCGGACUUGCGGUGGGUACGGGCAGACUAAGAGUGUGGUAGGGGAGACGUGGAAUUCCUGGUGUAGGCGGGUGAAAAUUGCGCAGAUAUCAAGGAGGAACACCGAUGGCGAAGGCAGGGUCUCUGGGCC